CCUACGGGAGGCAGCAGUAGGGAAUAUUGCACAAUGGGGGAAACCCUGAUGCAGCAACGCCGCGUGGGUGAAGAAGUUCUUCGGAUUGUAAACCCCUGUUGUUAGAGAAGAAAAUGACGGUAACUAACCAAUAAGCACCGGCUAAAUACGUGCCAGCAGCCGCGGUAAUACGUAGGGGGCAAGCGGUAUCCGGAUUUACUGGGCGUAAAGGGAGCGUAGGCGGGAAGGCAAGUCUGGAGUGAAAGCCUGUGGCGUAACCACGGUACUGCAUUGGAAACUGUGAUGCUGGAGUGCAGGAGGGGUAAGGGGAAUUCCUGGUGUAGCGGUGAAAUGCGUAGAUAUUAGGAGGAACACCAGUGGCGAAGGCGGCUUACUGGACUGUAACUGACGCUGAGGCUCGAAAGCGUGGGGAGCAAACAGGAUUAGAUACCCGAGUAGUC
rnacentral:rRNA from 1 species